CGCCCACCAGCUAGCCCCCUCUAAAAAACAACAUAAAACCUCAAUACACCCAAAUACCCUAUUACCUCACCUAAAACAAAACAUUUUUCCACCCUAGUAUGGGAGAUAGAAAAGGACCACAGGAGCUAUAGAAAAAGUACCGCAAGGGAAUGCUGAAAGAGAAAUGAAACAACCCAGUUAAGCACAAAAAAGCAGAGAUUAACACUCGUACCUUUCGCAUCAUGAUUUAGCUAGCAGACCCAAGCAAAGAGAACUUUAGUUUGACACCCCGAAACUAGAUGAGCUACUCCAAGUCAGCCUAGUCAAUAGGGCAACCCCGUCUCUGUGGCAAAAGAGUGGGAAGAACUUCGAGUAGAAGUGACAGACUUAUCGAAUCUAGUUAUAGCUGGUUACCCGGAAAAUGGACAGGAGUUCAGCCUCUGAUCUUCUUCACUCACUAAGCACUACCACUUAGGCCCUACAGACAACAAGAAGCUCAGAGAGUUAGUCAAAGGGGGUACAGCCCCUUUGACUUAAGAUACAACUUUUUAGGGAGGAAAAAGAUCACAACAACUAAAGGAAAAAUAUCCUGGUGGGCCUAAAAGCAGCCACCCAAACAGAAAGCGUUAAAGCUCAAACAUCCAUUCAACCUAAUUAUUACGACCACCUAAUCUUAAGCCCCCAAAUUCACCGGGUCUUCCCAUGCCACCAUGGGAGAGACAAUGCUAAAAUGAGUAAUAAGAGGGCUCUACGCCCCUCUCCAUGCACAAAUGUAAAUCGGAACGGACCCCCCACCGAACCUUAACGGCCCCAAACAACAGAGGGUACUGAAUAAGACUUACUAACUAGAAGAAUAUUCAACCUCACCCCGUUAACCCUACACCGGUGUGCAACCAAGGAAAGACCAACAGAAAAAGAAGGAACUCGGCAAACACAUUAAGCCUCGCCUGUUUACCAAAAACAUCGCCUCUUGUAAAUAACAAAUAAGAGGUCCCGCCUGCCCAGUGACUAUAUGUUAAAUGGCCGCGGUAUUUUGACCGUGCAAAGGUAGCGCAAUCACUUGUCUUUCAAAUGAAGACCUGUAUGAAUGGCAUCACGAGGGCUUAACUGUCUCCUUUUUCAAGUCAAUGAAAUUGAUCCCCCCGUGCAGAAGCGGGCAUAUAUACAUAAGACGAGAAGACCCUAUGGAGCUUUAGACACCAAGACAGACUACGUUAAACACUCCCGAACAAGGGACUAAACUUAGUAGCCCCCGUCCUAAUGUCUUUGGUUGGGGCGACCAUGGGGAAACAAAAAACCCCCACGUGGAUAGGAAGCACUACUAAACAAGACCUACUACAACCCAGAGCCCCCGCUCUAAUGACCAGAAAUUCUGACCAACAAGAUCCGGCAAAGCCGAUCAACGGACCGAGUUACCCUAGGGAUAACAGCGCAAUCCCCUUCCAGAGCCCAUAUCGACAAGGGGGUUUACGACCUCGAUGUUGGAUCAGGACAUCCUAAUGGUGCAGCCGCUAUUAAGGGUUCGUUUGUUCAACGAUUAAAGUCCUACGUGAUCUGAGUUCAGACCGGAGCAAUCCAGGUCAGUUUCUAUCUAUGAUAUACUCUUUCCCAGUACGAAAGGACCGAGAAGAGGGGGCCUCUAUUCUAAAUACGCCCUUCCCUUACCUAUUGAAGACAACUAAAAUAGAUAAAAGGGGUAUACCCCAUUGCUUGAGAAAAUAGCAU
rnacentral:rRNA from 1 species